UUGUCUUACUCCAGAUUGUCCUGGGUUGUUAUGAAUCUCCUCGGAAAGCGAGAUAGUUUUCAUUCAAGAAGAUGCAUUGCCCUCCCCAGGGAGGUAUAUACAGUAACAUGGUUGACCAUAACAGCAAAAGUCCUAAAACAUGUGAAGAUGUUUGCUUCGGAGUCUGUGCUUCCGGUGGCUGGAACAAAGGUGUCUCUUUCUGCUCUCAUAUCAAGGAGUAUCCAUUAUGGGUCUGAUGAGUUGAAAGGAAUCAUUCUGGAUCUGAUGGAUGAAGUGACCAGUUAGCGAAAUCACUGUUGCCCACACCACCUACGCCAUGUUUCCAGCUGAAAGACAAGUUCAUACUGCUAUCCUGCCCUGAAAGCCGAAUCAGCCAAAUGAAAAUUAAUGAUGAAAGCUGCCAUCAGGAAGUAACUCCUUCUGUCUUUGUUGGCAAAGAUUGGAUCUUGGGGAGGACAAAACAGCUCCGGAGGGAGAGGCGCCAAUGGUAUACAUAGGACACUGCCCUAAAAUAAGUUGGUGUCAGGAAUAAACAUUCAAAUGAUGUACAUGUAGAUCUGGAUUUAAUUUCUCAGGAUGGCAGAGACAGAUAACCAUGCCAAGGUGGUGCUUGAUAAGUCACUUUUGCUAAGCUUGCCUAUCAAGGAGAAUCCGAUCCCUUGGGAUUCAAAUCCGCACUCAAACUGCUGUGAUCAAAAGUCCAGGUCCCUCCAAUAUUACAUCCCCCCCUAAUAAUGAGAAGAGUACAGAUGAUGGACGAUGUGAGAAGCCUUUUGGGGAACAAACCAGAAUGUCAUUCUACAGACUCUUGAAAGCUUUCUAAAUCAUCGUGCAACAUCUUAAUUUGCUGGUUGCAACAUCAUAUACUGAGAUGUUUGUUACAGGCUUUUUAUUGGAAAAACGCCUUGAAAAAUAACAUUAUUUGACAAUCCUCCCCCCCAAUAAAUAUAUUUUACUGUA